GACGAACGCUGGCGGCGUGCUUAACACAUGCAAGUCGAACGGAAAGGCCCUGCUUUUGUGGGGUGCACGAGUGGCGAACGGGUGAGUAACACGUGAGUAACAUGCCCUUGACUUUGGGAUAACUUCAGGAAACUGGGGCUCAUACCGGAUAGGAGCUCCUGCUGCAUGGUGGGGGUUGGAAAGUUUCGGCGGUUGGGGAUGGACUCGCGGCUUAUCAGCUUGUUGGUGGGGUAGUGGCUUACAAAGGCUUUGACGGGUAGCCGGCCUGAGAGGGUGACCGGCCACAUGGGGACUGAGAUACGGACCAGACUCCUACGGGAGGCAGCAGUGGGGAAUAUUGCACAAUGGGCGGAAGCGUGAUGCAGCAACGCCGCGUGCGGGAUGACGGCCUUCGGGUUGUAAACCGCUUUCGCCUGUGACGAAGCGUGAGUGACGGUAAUGAGUAAAGAAGCACCGGCUAACUACGUG
rnacentral:rRNA from 1 species